rnacentral:sRNA from 2 species
UUUAAUCUCUUAAUCUUUUAUUUAAUUUCUUAAUAUUUCACUCUCUCAAUUACUCAGCUGACUAUCUUAUAGUUUUAUAUCUAUUAUCUACUUUAUCUAUUUUUUACUUAUUUUUUAUAUCUUUAUCUUCAUCUUUCAUUCUCAUCUAUUAAUUAUAUUACUUUUAAAUUAAUUUAAUCACUGAGUUUAAAUUCAUCUGUAAUCUUUUCUUAAUCUCUCUUCUUGAUCUCUGAUUGAUUCUCAGCAGUAUCUAUUAUAAAACUCUUUUUAUUCUCUUUCUAUUUCUUACAAUAUUAUUAGUGUUAUUAAUCUUAAUUCUUUGAAUUAUUCUUCAGUUGUGAUUAUUCAAAAUAGCACUCAGAUAUAAAUUCAAUAUUUACAGCAA